rnacentral:lncRNA from 12 species
GUGCCCAGGCCCCUGCGAGUCCCGCCUGGAGAGGGGCCUCCCGUCAGCCUGCGGCCCAGGGCGACCGGCCGGGACAGGAGGCGGCGGUGCUGAAAGCUCAGGACGACAGGGGCCUGUCGGGGCGCGCCGGUCGGCUAAACUCGUCUGUUCACUGCCAAGGGGGGGGAAACACGCCCUCCACCUCGAGAUGCCUCUUGAUUUACGCCCUUGAACAGGCCGGACGCUUGUGCAGGUUGUGCACCCUCCCUGUGCGGGGAGGCCACCGGCUCGGCCACCUCACUGCACCCACGGCCCUGCGCAGCCGGGCAGUAAAUGUGAUUUUCUGAGUUCUUUGACAGCUGGUGACAAAGGGCCAGGUCUGUUUAUUUAUGUGGAUUCUACUUCCCAUCGCGAGCGUUAGUUCUUGAAAUAUUCUGAAAUCUCUAGGCCGUCCUGUGCUUUUCCACGUCACGUGAGAGACGGUCACGUCCCCAGAUGACUCUGAUGUGAUUCAGCGUCGCCCUGUGUGGUGCCGGUGUCCGGCCGCCUACGGGCCACCAAGGGCAGCAGAGGUCCCGCAGGCCCCGCAGCCUCACCCGACCCGGCCUGCGGGGUCCUGGACUCACAAGACCAGAACCUGGGGCUGGUCCAGAAUGUGCGGCAAAGGCCCCAGCCCAGGCCCACCCCUGGCGAGUCCGGCGUGGCUCCUGGCUGGCUGGGCGUCCAUCCGGGAACCACAGGAUGCGAAACUUCCUCCCCACCCCACUGUCCCCUGUUUGUAAAUGUGAAAACUGAGUCCAGAAGGAGGCCGUGUGUCCGAGACCGUCCGACCAAGUUCGGGACAGGGCUCUCCUGAGACCCAAGGCUGUUUCCAGGGCCUGCCAGUCACCGGGCAUCCUCUCGCCGGGCACUGGGAUGUUGCCCCAGAACCUCCGGGGGGCCCGUCUGGCCCCGGGCCCGGGGGACGGCUGCAGUGACGCCGAGUGCCUGCAGACUGCGGUUUCCAGGGAAGAGGCCUCCGGGACCCCCUCACGUCACCGAAAUCCCACCUGGAAGAACCCGGGCCCUGGCCCGACCUGCUCCGUCUGGCUCAUGUGGCUUCGGGCCAUUUGUCUUGUCUGAACGAGACAGCGGUGUGGGCCUCAGCCACCAGUCCCUGGCGUGUGGCCGUCACCCAGCCUUGGGGGGCGCCUGCAGAGCUAGCGGGGGGCCGGCUGCAGACGGGGAGGCCACCGGGUGGCCGGUGCCCUGGGCGGGCCCUCGUUCUCCACUACAAACACACGCGAGCUUUGAAUCAGUGUGCAUCUCCCUCCAGUUCGCCACCGCGGCCGCCUCCUGAUCCAUCUCACGGUGGCGGGGCUCCGGAGCCCCCGCGGGCAGGGACCCGGUGGCUGACUCCCCACGUACCAAAACCACGUCCAGCAUGCAGCGCCUGCCCAGCAAAAGUUCGCUGGGGGACCAGGGUGCUGAGCGCCUGUCCUCAUCUGGCUGCGGUAACAGGACGCCACAGACCCGGUGGCUUCUAAACAACGGAAAUGUGACUCUCGCAGUUCUUGGGCCUGGAAGCCCGAGGGGUAGUGUCUGGUAAGGGCUUGCUUCCUGGUUGGCAGAGGGCUGACUUCCCACUGUGUCCCCCAAUGGUGUCCCCGCAUGGUGUCCCCGCACUAUGUCUCCACAUGGUGUCCCCCAUGGUGUCCCCACAGGGCCGAAGGGGUGAGGGAGCUCUGGGGAGGGUCCCUCCUAUUAAAAGCACUAAUCUCCA